AGGUUUAGUUUUGGAUUUUAGUUCACAAAGAAGAAUCGGAGAGGAGGUUAGAAGAUCUAACUAACGGAAGUAGAAAGAAGUAGGGUGAUGGAUGAGCGCACUAGAUCAUGAGUACGUAAUUCGUAAAGGCAAAACUCGGAUAUUUAUUGUUUGUAAAGGAGAUGCUGAUUCACAGUCAUUCAGCUAAGAGAGAAUUAGUGACAGAACAUACAGUUGAAUGAUGUACAUUAAUUGCAGAGGAUUCCAUUAGAAGAAGCAUGGUUUAUAGAGAUUUUCCAGUAAUUAUUUCGAGUGUUGACAUGUAGACACCAUAUAUAAGAAUGGAUGUUAAGGGGUAAAUGGGUCAAUUU
rnacentral:lncRNA from 1 species